UACGGGGGGAGCAAGCGUUGUUCGGAUUUACUGGGCGUAAAGGGCGCGUAGGCGGCCACUGCAAGUCAGUUGUGAAAUCUCCGGGCUUAACCCGGAAAGGUCAACUGAUACUGCAGGGCUAGAGUGCAGAAGGGGCAACUGGAAUUCCUGGUGUAGCGGUGAAAUGCGCAGAUAUCAGGAGGAACACCCGUGGCGAAAGCGGCUCUCUGGGACGGUACUGACGCUGAGACGCGAAAGCGUGGGGAGCAAACAGG
rnacentral:rRNA from 1 species